AUUGAACGCUGGCGGCAUGCCUUACACAUGCAAGUCGAACGGUAACGGGCCUUCGGGUGCCGACGAGUGGCGAACGGGUGAGUAAUGUAUCGGAACGUACCUUUCAGUGGGGGAUAACGUAGCGAAAGUUACGCUAAUACCGCAUAUUCUGUGCGCAGGAAAGCAGGGGACCUUCGGGCCUUGCGCUGAUUGAGCGGCCGAUAUCAGAUUAGCUAGUUGGUGAGGUAAAGGCUCACCAAGGCGACGAUCUGUAGAGGGUCUGAGAGGAUGAGCCGCCACACUGGAAAUGAGACACGGGCCAGAAGCCUACGGGAGGCAGCAGUGGGGAAUUUUGGACAAUGGGGGCAACCCUGAUCCAGCCAUGCCGCGUGAGUGAAGAAGGCCUUCGGGUUGUAAAGCUCUUUCGGCCGGGAAGAAAUCGUAUCAGCUAAUACCUGGUGCGGAUGACGGUACCGGCAUAAGAAGCACCGGCUAACUACGUGCCAGCCGCCGCCGUAAUAC
rnacentral:rRNA from 1 species